UCCCCCAUUUACAUUAACCCCUUUAAUCGUAUUGAGAACUUCUAUAAUUUUAUAGAACUUUUUAUGCUAAAACUAGUAACAAGAGAAAACCCUCUCCCAAACGCAAGUACAAGCCAGAAGAACCCAUCACUGGCAUAAUAACAGACUACAAAGAAGCAACUCUUCCAGAAAACUCUUCUACCUUAACUGUCAAUCUUACACCAGGGCGUUUCGAGAAAGAUUAAAAGAAAAAGAAGGAACUCGGCAAAAACUAGCCCCGCCUGUUUACCAAAAACAUCGCCUCUUGAAUUUAUUAGAGGUCCAGCCUGCCCAGUGACUCCUGUUUAACGGCCGCGGUAUUCUAACCGUGCAAAGGUAGCGUAAUCACUUGUUUUCUAAAUAAAGACUAGUAUGAAAGGCACCACGAGGACUAAACUGUCUCCUUUUUCCAAUCAGUGAACCUAAUCUCCCCGUGAAGAAGCGGGGAUUUCAGUAUAAGACGAGAAGACCCUGUGGAGCUUAAAACAUCUAAACAUCUGCUUCAUUUUCCAUCACUCAGGUAUAUUACCCCUCUUGCAAUUUGAUUUAAUGUUUUUGGUUGGGGUGACCGCGGAAAAAAACAGAUCCUCCGCAAUGAAAAGGAAUUCCUUAAACUGUAAGUCACAACUUUACUUAUCA
rnacentral:rRNA from 1 species